rnacentral:misc_RNA from 1 species
AAGUCGUAACAAGGUAACCGUAGGUGAACCUGCGGUUGGAUCAUUAACAAAUUAUAGAAGCGCUUGUCCAAAAGACAGCGACUCUUGACAUUUUGUGAACUGUUUAUUGUCUCUGGUGGGUUAAAACGGUGCAGGCCGGGAGCUCGCUCUACCCACCACCUAAUUUUGAACUUGGUAGUAUCAUUUGUCUUUAAAUUUGAAAGUUUAAUUAAAAAACAACUUUUGGCAACGGAUCUCUAGGUUCUC